UACGGGGGGAGCAAGCGUUGUUCGGAUUCAUUGGGCGUAAAGGGCGCGUAGGCGGUCAGGUUAGUCCGUCAUGAAAUGUACCGGUUCAACCGGGGCACCGUGUCGGAAACUGCCUGGCUUGAGGCCGAGGGAGGAAGGUGGAAUUCCUGGUGUAGCGGUGAAAUGCGUAGAUAUCAGGAGGAACACCCGUGGCGAAGGCGACCUUCUAUCUCGGAUCUGACGCUGAGGCGCGAAAGCUAGGGGAGCAAACGGG
rnacentral:rRNA from 1 species